rnacentral:rRNA from 1 species
CCCCUAGACGUUCUGGGCUGCACGCGCGCUACAAUAAUACGCACAGCGAGUAUCACCGAGCUCGAAAGGGCAAGGUAAACAAUAGAAAAGGUACUGUAAUGGUUAUAGAUCCUUGUAAUUAUUGAUCUUCAACGAGGAAUUCCUAGUAAGUAUGUGUCAUCAUCCCGCGCUGAAUACGUCCCUGCCCUUUGUACACACCGCCCGUCGCUCCUACCGAUUGAGUGGUCCGGUGAGGCUUUGGGAUCUGAGCGGAAAGAGCGUUUCGCUGUUUCUGCUCGGAAAACUCAGUCGAACCUUAUCAUUUAGAGGAAGGAGAAGUCGUAACA